UUCAAAGGCGCUUUACAUAUAGCAAACACAGUCACACAGGGUGCGAAAUUCAUCCUCUACUAGUACAGACACAGAGCGAUCUGGCCAGAGGGACAGAGUGAGAUAAAGCCCCAAGAACAGAUAGAGAAAAAUCCUUUUUAGUUACUAAUUUGUCCGGCUAACUUAGCAUAGUUCUUUGCGAAUAGACAGUCUGGUUCUUUAACGUGCCCGGUGUAUAGCACCGAUACACGCGAAGCCGUCUUUCCUGGGAAGAACCAGUACAGGCCUCUAAGGUAGAUGGGAGACACUCAAGAGCAUCUCAGAAUUUCCAGUGCCUGGACCGGGAUUCAACCCCCGGACCUCUGGAUUGACAGUCAAGCGUGUUACCACUAGACCACCGGCCCACCUAAUUAUCCCUUUAGUUCUAGGAUGAUAUAUGUGUGAGCAUUUAGUUGCCUAGACAAUUGAAAUUGGUAUGUUAAUUAACCUAUGUAAUGGUUAUGUUAUUACUAUUCUAGCUUUUUUCUAACUUUAUUAUAAUACCGGCUUUUUUCUUUUUUCUACAAAAUUCGAAUAAACAUUGUCAGUCUCCAAUUUGUAAACGUUUCUAUAAUAUACGGUAUCAAUCCUCGAUGAAAAGAAAUAACAAUAUGAACAUAGAUCUUCGUUAGUUUCAACUCUGUCUGUGAUUCUUUUUAGAAUGAAAGCAGUUACAGGUGACAGUGUGUUGAGUGUUGCAGAUAUCAGUGUGGAUAUAGGACCGGCAAAGAUUCUGCAUCAUGUGAGUUUUUCAACUUGUAAUGGAGACGUCCUUGCUGUAAUGGGCCCGACAGGGUCUGGAAAGACAACAGUACUCAAUGCAAUAGCUGGACGUCAACCGCUUUCUACAGGAAACAUUUAUCUUUCUGGACAAAAAAUUCAACAAAAGACUGCGCCGACAACUUGGUUUCGUCCUUCCUCAAGAUGUUUUCUUUUCAGACCUUACGUUAUGGGAAACAUUAUAUUUUACAGCUCUCAUGAUCAUCAAUUUUCAACAGUGGAAUCAAUAUUAUUGUAACCAAUAGCACAGAAGUGAACAAACCUCUAAUAUGUUUAAUGUUGGGAGGAAUACCCCGAAUGCCUUCGUCAGACAGAACUUUAGCCAUGAACUGGUACCUGGAUAAAGUCAUGAAUUGUUCAUAAAGCCAGCAUGAUGGCUUACUCUUAUUAAAAAAUAGACGCCUCGUGCGGGGUUUCGAACAUGCAAGUAGGAGCGGAUUCAAGCUACAUACCAUAGCUCAAAGAUCAUUGACUGAGUUAGAAGAGGCUCAGUUAAACUUCUAUGAAGAAAACAAAAGUCAGAGGAAGGUUGCAGAGCAGCAAGUGAAAACCCUUGCUGUGAAAGAGGAGUUUUUUAAGUUGGCAACCAAGAUACUGGCAGAAAAGAGUGAUUUGUCCGGCAUCCUGGAUCUUUUUUACAGAACAAUAAAAAGAGGACAGCAUAUAAAGGAGGAUGAAAUUCAAUGUACAAAGUUGAAAACUGAGAUAUUGUAAAGUAAAUCUUGUAGCACA
rnacentral:misc_RNA from 1 species